GUCGACUGUUAGUCUGUUCUUUGUGGUGCUAUUGUUACAGUCUUGCAGACAUAACGAAGAACCCGUCCUAAACCUCGAAAUAAAAUUUUGAAAACUCAUAUAUGAUCACUCGUGGCUCAAAACGUGAUUGGAAUGAAGUCGAUAGUUUGCACCGUUUUUGAGUAAUGAAGGAAAACAAUCCGCGUAAAAAAAACCCAUGCAGUGUAUAGGCCUUUUUCACGCGGUUGUCUUAGCUACGGAGGUUUCUUAGCUACUUCAGAUGCUUCAAAUAAAGUGACCAAAAUACCUAAACCUUUUUUAGAAAAUCAUUCUCAAGUCUAAAAGAAUUUUCUACCCGCGUCACUCAGGUUUCUAGCUCAAAUACGUUAACAAAGUUUCUUUUAAACAAGAAAUGUCUAUCCCGGCUAGAAACGCUUAGUUGUUCCAACAUAGAAUAGCUAAACAAGCUAGAUUUUUUAUAACAAUUUUUGUUGUGCAUCUUGAACUUUGAAGCUUGUACAAAAGAUAGUGAAGCUGUAUAACAUCAAAGAAACUAAUUACGAAUAAAAAUGGAGAUAACUUUUCGGAUAACAAA